rnacentral:rRNA from 1 species
CCUAGGGGGGGCAGCAGUGGGGAAUAUUGCGCAAUGGACGAAAGUCUGACGCAGCGACGCCGCGUGAGGGACGAAGGUCUUCGGAUCGUAAACCUCUGUCAGAAGGGAAGAAGUGUAGGGGUAGUAACUGCCCUCUACUUGACGGUACCUUCAAAGGAAGCACCGGCUAACUCCGUGCCAGCAGCCGCGGUAAUACGGAGGGUGCGAGCGUUAAUCGGAAUUACUGGGCGUAAAGCGCGCGUAGGCGGCUUUGUAAGUCAGGGGUGAAAUCCCACGGCUCAACCGUGGCAUUGCCUUUGAUACUGCAGAGCUUGAGUUCGGGAGAGGGUGGUGGAAUUCCAGGUGUAGGAGUGAAAUCCGUAGAGAUCUGGAGGAACAUCAGUGGCGAAGGCGACCACCUGGCCCGAUACUGACGCUGAGGGACGAAAGCGUGGGUAGCAAACA